UUGCCUCUGCCUUUCCCUUUUCUCCUCCUAUCCCUAACGCAGCCGCCGCCGCCGCUCGGCUCUCCCUUGCCAAUGCACACAUGCACUCGCCGCCGCCGCUCGACUCUCCCCUCCCAAUGGCACCCCGUCGCUCACCAUCAAAUGUUUCCUCCCCUACAAGUGCAAGAUCGCCAAUGAGGUGGUAUAGCCAUCCGCCACACCUGCCACUGUCCCUUUGCCAUUUCUGGUCCUAGAUCUGUGUUACCUGCAUUUUUCUUUGCCACGGGAUCGGGAUGGUGGAGGAGCAGCUGGUGGGGAUUAGCAUCUUGCUUCAGAUAUCUAUUCUCGUGCUCUCGUUCAUGCUCAGAUAUUGAUGGCGCUGUUGGUGGACCCACCUGACAUCAAGAGGGAGAUGUAGAUGGAGAUGCAGCCCGCACCACCACCAUCUGCUGCGGCGUCGGCAUCGCAGACGGCGUGGCCACUGGAUUGGCCGGUGGACGGGCGCUCGCUCAAUCCUCCAUCGCCGCCCACUAUAUCAGUCCAGUAUGUGAGUCAUAUUGAUUUUAUAAUUGAUUUUAUGCGCCAGUUCUUGCCUCGACUAAUGGGUCCUCUUCCAUUUUGUAAUCACCUCUGCAUGUUUACUGUAUCACUUUGGUAAAUUACUAUUGUUCCAUGUUGUCUUCCACAACAUACUGCACUAGUUCAGUGGUUAGUUUCCUAUUCAACCAUUUCGUAAUGAAGGAGGUAUUGGUAUUUAGGUAAAUAUUUAUUUAUGAUUGUGCUGGUAUUAUCUCAAUAGGCUGGAAAAUUUUAAAUAACCUAAUAUGACAUAAACCUCAACUGCCCAUGCACUCUUAGUUGUUGUUUUGAACCGGUCUUUCGUUGUUUUUCUUUUCACCAAAAAAUAAAAUCUUGAUGAUGUGUGACACACCUGUUUGGUUAUAUCAUGUUAUCUAUGUAGUUCGGCCAAUUAAACUAUGUUAUCAGGUAUAACUAGAUGAGGCAAAUUAUAUAUAUAUAUAUAUAUAUAUAUAUAUAUAUAUAUAUAUAUAUAUAUAUA
rnacentral:lncRNA from 1 species